rnacentral:rRNA from 1 species
UACGUAGGGUGCGAGCGUUAUUCGGAAUUACUGGGCGUAAAGCGUGCGUAGACGGUUAUGUAAGUCAGGUGUGAAAGCCCCGGGCUCAACCUGGGAAUUGCAUUUGAGACUGCAUAGCUAGGGUGCGGAAGAGGGAAGCGGAAUUUCCGGUGUAGCGGUGAAAUGCGUAGAUAUCGGAAGGAACACCAGUGGCGAAAGCGGCUUCCUGGUCCAGCACCGACGUUCAGGCGCGAAAGCGUGGGGAGCAAACAGG